rnacentral:rRNA from 1 species
UAGGGAAUAUUGCACAAUGGGGAAGACCCUGAUGCAGCGACGCCGCGUGAAGGAAGAAGUAUCUCGGUAUGUAAACUUCUAUCAGCAGGGAAGACAAUGACGGUACCUGCAAAGGAAGCACCGGCUAACUCCGUGCCAGCAGCCGCGGUAAUACGGAGGGUGCGAGCGUUAAUCGGAAUUACUGGGCGUAAAGCGCUCGUAGGUAGUAUAUCAAGUCAAGGGUGAAAUCCCCGCGCUCAACGUGGGAACUGCCUUUGAAACUGUUACACUUGAGUGUGUGAGAGGAUAGUGGAAUUCCAGGUGUAGGAGUGAAAUCCGUAGAUAUCUGGAGGAACAUCAGUGGCGAAGGCGACUAUCUGGCACAUAACUGACACUGAGGAGCGAAAGCGUGGGUAGCAAACAGGAUUAGAUACC